rnacentral:rRNA from 1 species
AGAGCGGCGGACGGGUGAGUAACGCGUAGGAAUUUGCCCAGUAGUGGGGGACGAACUCGGGGAAACUCGAGCUAAUACCGCAUACGCCCUACGGGGGAAAGCAGGGGAUCUUCGGACCUUGCGCUAUUGGAAAAGCCUGCGUCGGAUUAGCUUGUUGGUGAGGUAAUGGCUCACCAAGGCGACGAUCCGUAGCUGGUCUGAGAGGAUGAUCAGCCACACUGGGACUGAGACACGGCCCAG